GUGGAAAAAGGGGAAGAAGAAGAUGGGAUAGAGAGGAUGACAAGUGGGGCCUUAAUUGGGGGGCAACAAUGGCAAUCCACACUGAAAUCGAUCUUUUUUGGAGCUGAGAGCACCCAUCUAGCCAAACACCCCAUUUUUGUUCUGGAGUUUUGGAGCAGAGCUGGCUCCAUGUGGAGUUCUGGAGUGGAGCAGCUCCACCUGGAGUUGGAGCCAUGCCAAACAGGGCCUUAGUCCCGGUUGGUAAUAUCAACCAGGACUAAAGAGCCCCCUUUAGUCCCAGUUGUAGCGGCUAGUUAGGACAAGGGAAUCUAGUGGGGCGCUUAGUCCCGGUUGGUGUUACCAACUGGGACUAAACGUCUCCCCUAUAAAAGUCAGCUUCUUCCUUCCCAAGCUCUGGCAAAAUAGUUUUCCAAAUGACUUUUGGAGCCACAUUUUCAUGAUAGAAGGAUGGGAGCCCAAUACCUGUUCAGGCAGAGAUUUGUUCACUGACCUUGACCCAUCAGUUUUUGGUUGGUUUUGACUUGCUAAAAUGGACCAUGCUCAGUGAAC
rnacentral:lncRNA from 1 species